AAGGAUAUAUUCGGAACAACUUCUACGAAGUUGAAAAGGAAUAACAUUGACAUAUUGUAUUCAGUUUUGAAUGCUCAUAAUUUGAGGAUUCAACAUAAAUUGUACAUUGAAAACUAGAUAAGUAAGUAAAAUAUAGAUUUUACCAAGCAAAACCGAGUGAAUUAAAGUUUGAAAAAGCUUGAAUUCAAAACAAAUAAUCGCUAGUGUUCGAAAGAACACUCACAGAUUAAUAACAUUUUGGGUUUAAAUGAAACAAUGUUUGAUUUAAACAAAC
rnacentral:misc_RNA from 1 species